GACGAACGCUGGCGGCGUGCUUAACACAUGCAAGUCGAACGGAAAGGCCCUGCUUUUGUGGGGUGCUCGAGUGGCGAACGGGUGAGUAACACGUGAGUAACCUGCCCUUGACUUUGGAUAACUUUAAGAAAAUUGGGCCAAUUCGGGAAAGGAGCUCCUGCUUCCUGGUGGGGGUUGGAAAGUUUCGGCGGGUGGGGGUGGAUUCACUGCGUAUCAGUCUGUUGGUGGGGUAGUGGCGUACCAAGGCUUUGACGGGGAGCCGGGCUGAGGGGGUGAACGGCCACGUUGGGACUGAGAUAAGGCGCAGACUACUACGGGAGGCAGCAGUGGGGAAUGGUGCACAAUGGGCGGAAGCCUGAUGCAGCAACGCCGCGUGCGGGAUGACGGCCUUCGGGUUGUAAACCGCUUUCGCCUAUGACGAAGCGUGAGUGACGGUAAUGGGUAAAGAAGCACCGGCUAACUACGUG
rnacentral:rRNA from 1 species